CGCACAUUGCGCCCGCCAGUAUUCUGGCGGGCAUGCCUGUUCGAGCGUCAUUUCAACCCUCAAGCCCCUCCGGGUUUGGCGUUGGGGAUCGGCCUCCGCUCCGGCGGCCGGCCCCGAAAUCGAGUGGCGGUCCCGCCGCGGCUUCCUCUGCGUAGUAAAACACCUCGCACUGGGACGCGGCGCGGCCACGCCGUAAAUCAGACGAAUUUUCUGAAGGUUGACCUCGGAUCAGGUAGGAAUACCCGCUGAACUUAA
rnacentral:misc_RNA from 1 species